GCCCACCCCGAAACUUCGGGCACGGGAGACGGCGGCGGGCGCGCGGCGGAUGUGACAUCACCGCUGCCGCGAGGGGCCGCGGACCGUUAGCGGCGACCGUUAGCUGCGCGCGGUCGUUGCCGCCUCGGCGCCGGCGUAGCGGGAGGCUCCCGGAGCCGCAGGCGGAGGAGAGGCGCGACACGGGCUGCUAAAGCGCACGGGGUCCUGGGUCACAGGGCGACGCUCCGUACCCCUCUACACAAGCUUAGCGUUAUUUUCCCUGCUGGCGGUGGCAGCCAGGGGCACUUUCCGUUGUGGAGAGCACUGCGCAGACAGGCGCGGCUCUCCCGUUGCUAACAGGCGGGACUUGCCGAAGGCUCCUUUUUCAUCUUCCUGUGAAAGGAAAGAAAGAAACCACUGCAACCCGGGGACUGAGCUCCUGUGUGCACGCAGUAAGAACAACUAAGAAGAGAGCCAUGUAAUUUGAAGUUCACAAAGACAGCAAUCAAGAAGCAAGUUGAAUUAUAGACUAAGAAAUAUUCUGUGUAGCCCACUGAAGAAUGCUGACAAUUCUGCUGCAUCAGCUGAUGAAGCCUGUGUGCACCAGUGCUCUGACAUGCUAGAUUGCUCUAUAUAAGGCAAAGAGUUUUGAUUUUGGAAGCCAGAAAGAGUUGCAGCAAUUUCAACUACAGUCAAAAGAAGGAAAAACCUCUAUCUUGGAGAAAUAGAAAAGAUCAGCAAGAAAAGGCAAGGACUCCUGCUUCAGAGAAGUUGAUUCUAGGAAAUUCCAAGCACCUUCAGUGCCAAGUGAACAUUAUGGAAAUUGUGCUCAUAUUCAGAAAUCGAUUCACUUCCUGAUUCCCGCUGUAAAAAGAGAAAUCCUCUGCAAGCAUCACUGGCUUUGAGGCUUUCUUUUACAGCCAUUCAAGAAAGCAAGAAAAAUCGGUUUCCCAUAUACACGAGUGUCUGGCAGCAGUCAUUCUAGCAGAAGACAAAGUAUCAUAAGAGGAACAUGGAUGUGAUGAGGGCUCCCUCCAGUUAUGCCUUGGCCACAGGACUAAGCAAGUCUUACAGGACCGUCUACAUUUUCAAAGCAGUGUUGAAGUGCAACCAUCAACAAAACAUUUAUUCUGGCACCAUGCACAAAAACUGAAACACCAGUUACAAGUCUAUGCAAGUAUAAAGGUGCAGACUAUUUCAGCUGCAAAAAUGCAAUGAUUUAAAAUAUUUCAUUGCCAUAAAAUUUUUAAAAAGGCAAGAUUUUUCUUCAGGUUUGUUAUGUCCUAGGAAUAAAGGCCAGUUCUGAUCACCUGGGCUAAACUGUGGACAUUAACAUUUCCACAUUUGGUAAAUCAUUUAGAACACCCAUGAUAAUGAACCAAUGCCAAAGUAAUUAAGUAUAAAGACUCUGCAAAUCAUGCAUUAAUUAUUCUUUUUAAUUAUCAGUAUCACUUUAUCAAAAAACUCUCAGCACAUCUGUUGAUACAUUUUAAAGUUGCUAUUUAUAAGAUUUUGGAAAACUGCUUGCCUUCUGAUUGCUCCAUUUCCAUUAUAUACAUAUUCAGAUGUAUAAUUAUGGCAAUUCAGAACCAGUCUGUACUAUUAAAUACAAGACAGGUUUUAAUUAGAAAUAGAAAUACAAACACGGUUAUAAAGCAUUUUAAAAUAUCGUGUGUUACUUCUUGUAGGAGUAGUAAUAAACCUUGACUUUAAAAUUUAUUUGACUUAUAUAGAAACUGAUGUUUCUGGAAAUAAUAUGGUAGCAUUGUUCCUAAGGAUUGCAAUGUACUGUACAUGGUCCUUUAAUCUCUGAAAAAUACAAUGAUUUUUUUGAAAACUUUUGGGUAUUGAAAUAUUCUCCACUCAUGCUCGUGAUACCUGAAACUUGCACUAGCAUUUUUAUUUUCUUUUAAAUUCCUCCAAUUUUAUACCAGAAUUUAUUUCAACAAAUUAUAUCCAGGAAAAAAAAAAGAUUUAAAAAUUACAUUUCUAUUUUACAGGAUUUAAAACAGAAUGGUUGUUACUUCUUAGAAAAGCUAUAGAUAAAUAUAUAUUUUAAAAUUUUGGUUUAAUUAAAUCACAUUUUAAAAUUGGAAAUUCUGUUACUUUUUUCUUCCUAUCUUUUCUGCUUUUAGCAGCAAACACUGAUAACCAGUCCUUUUCACUUUAAUUUUUCUUUGUAUGUAACUUUAUUUUCUAAAUUUUAGAAAAAAAUCAAAAAAGAAAGGACCAAAGAGGAAAAAGAAGCCUUAAAUUUUCAAAAUCUUUAAUUUCAUUUUUUUGUUUUUUUGUUGAACCAUGUAUGUGCCCAUGGAUGUGUGAAUUGGUGUGCUCAGGCUUUUACACCUAAGAAAUAGCCUUAGCUGAGGGACGGGAUCUAUGCAACUUCCCAAGGCUGAACAGAGAGGGAGUUACUGUUGUCUAUAGCUAUUUGGGGGACUGUAAGCAGAACACCAAGCCCAGACUGAACACCGGAGGAAGAUUACCAGGUGUAAAGAUCUGACUCACUCUGGGGAGGAAUAGAAAAAUGUGUAAAAUCAACACAAACAAACAUGCUUAAAUUCCAUUAGCUGAAUGAAUAAUGGCAUUGAUUAUCAGCUACUAAGAGUCUUUUUUAUGGUAAUACUGGAUAGCAACGUUCUCUUACUUGUUUUUUGUCAUUAAAUUUAUGACAAAAUGGUCCUUAACAAUGGCUAUGUUUUUCAGGCUUUCUGCAGAGAAAAAGAUAUGGUCCUAACAAGGAGUGAAUCAGGUUUGAAAUGCACUUUUAGCUGUCUCUGAAGAGUACAGACAUGUGCAAUUGGAGAAAUUUUUGGAAAACGCUUCAAGUUUUGAGAAGAGGCAAUGAAUUACAGAGGAAGCCAAGAUGACUAGCUAGUAAAAGAUGUCCAGCUUUUAGAUGGCUCAUGAACUGCUCUCCAAAUAUUCAAGAUACUUUAAACAGGCCUAUUUCUUUUUGAGGAUCUGAUUACAGAGGAGCACAUUAAAAGAAAUCAGGAGACCUUUAGUCACUCAGUGGUCUUUCCUUACCCUCUCCUUUUUGUCCAGAAAAGAAGCUGUUCUCUUUCAUGACUUGUUUCAACUGCUUUCAGUAUUUAGAAAAAGAUGAGACAAAGUUUUAAAGUAUGCAUAUUAAUGGGGUAUAUGGGUUAUGGGCAGUGGGACGGAAGAUUGCUAUUUAUCUGAUAUGAGAAUGAUCCAAAUAUUUCUUGGUCAGAGUUAGACUUGCAUUUAUAGAUGUAAUGCAGUUCUUAUGUAUAUGACUUUAAAAAGAGACUGAUUGAAGUGAUGUAGAAUGUAACAAAAUAUUUCUAUGGUAUACGUUGAAAAAAUUUUUUGGUAAUAUUACAGCAUCUGACUCUUCAGCCAAAUGCUUUUCUUUGGCACUUUCUUUGCAGAGAGCAGCCCUUCCAGUGUCUCUAUUGGGCAGAAUUGCACCAGUGAAAUCCUUCUGCCUAGUCUGAGGUCAUAUAAAUCUAGAUACAUAGAUUUGAGACAUUAUUUUGAUGACAUUUCAGAGACAUAAAAUCAGCUUAUAAAAGAUUAGUGCAUGUAUUUUCCAAGUGAUAAAUAAUUAUAAAAUUGUAAUUUAUUAUCAUGAAAUAGAAGUGGUUAAUGAAUUAUGCAUAGAUGGAGACACUGCAGGAGAAACUAAAUUCAUGCAUAUUUUUUUUACCUGCUUAUUUUAACCAGUUUUGUUGUAACAAUGUAUGUCACUUCUUGAUCCAUUUCCAUAUAGUUAUAUUGACAUGAUCAUUUGAAUCAUUCAGGCUUCUUUUCCAGAAAUCUCAGCUGUUCACAAUCUUUUAUGAUGCCAGGCUCUCUUCAGGCUCUGGCUAUCAACCAAAGGACCUGGCCAGAACCUUUUCACAGUUAGGCAAUACAGAUUUUUGUCAGGGUGUCAAAUCUUUAAGCAAAUCACUGACUUUAACAGCAGGUCUGAGUCUGACAAGGACUAUUAUUAGCAUCAGUGAUAUUCUUUAUCAAAUAUAUCACCCUGAGAACUCUUAUUAGAAAAUUGAAUUUUACAUCUUCAAGCAACUUCAUUCAGAAUAUGAAAGCAUAAGCAUUUCCACAUGUGAAAAAAAUGUAUUAAGUUUUGAGUGAAAACUGUUUAUUAUUGGAAUGUUUUUGGUGCCUCUUACUUUAGAUUAAAAUUCCUGUUACUUAGGGUAGAUGGAUAUACGUAGACUUUUUCAGAAUCUGGGCCAAUGUAACUAGAGUAGAUUUUCUAAAGUAUGUUUCUAUUUUUUAUUUCUGUUCUCUGUCUUCAGAUAUUUUUAUUUCUAUAAUCUCUUUAUUGAAAUGUUAUUCAGUAUUAAGUAUUCUUUCAUUGUUAUGUGUACCCCUGUUUUUUCUCCUCUGUGUCUCCAGAAGGAACCCAUGUUUUCUUGUCUCUUUAGCUGUUGUUGUUUUGCUUGAACACAAAUAAUAAAUAUUCUUUCUAAGAAUAUAUAUUUCCUUA